GGUUAAGCGACUAAGCGUACACGGUGGAUGCCCUGGCAGUCAGAGGCGAUGAAGGACGUGCUAAUCUGCGAAAAGCGUCGGUAAGGUGAUAUGAACCGUUAUAACCGGCGAUGUCCGAAUGGGGAAACCCAGUGUGAUUCGUCACACUAUCGUUAACUGAAUACAUAGGUUAACGAGGCGAACCGGGGGAACUGAAACAUCUAAGUACCCCGAGGAAAAGAAAUCAACCGAGAUUCCCCCAGUAGCGGCGAGCGAACGGGGAGCAGCCCAGAGUCUGAAUCAGCUUGUGUGUUAGUGGAACGGUCUGGAAAGUCCGACGGUACAGGGUGAUAGUCCCGUACACCAAAAUGCACAGGUUGUGAACUCGAAGAGUAGGGCGGGACACGUGGUAUCCUGUCUGAAUAUGGGGGACCAUCCUCCAAGGCUAAAUACUCCUGACUGACCGAUAGUGAACCAGUACCGUGAGGGAAAGGCGAAAAGAACCCCGGCGAGGGGAGUGAAAAAGAACCUGAAACCGUGUACGUACAAGCAGUGGGAGCACCUUCGGGUGUGACUGCGUACCUUUUGUAUAAUGGGUCAGCGACUUAUAUUCUGUAGCAAGGUUAACCGUAUAGGGGAGCCGCAGGGAAACCGAGUCUUAACUGGGCGUUAAGUUGCAGGGUAUAGACCCGAAACCCGGUGAUCUAGCCAUGGGCAGGUUGAAGGUUGGGUAACACUAACUGGAGGACCGAACCGACUAAUGUUGAAAAAUUAGCGGAUGACUUGUGGCUGGGGGUGAAAGGCCAAUCAAACCGGGAGAUAGCUGGUUCUCCCCGAAAGCUAUUUAGGUAGCGCCUCGUGAAUUCAUCUUCGGGGGUAGAGCACUGUUUCGGCUAGGGGGUCAUCCCGACUUACCAACCCGAUGCAAACUACGAAUACCGAAGAAUGUUAUCACGGGAGACACACGGCGGGUGCUAACGUCCGUCGUGAAGAGGGAAACAACCCAGACCGCCAGCUAAGGUCCCAAAGUCAUGGUUAAGUGGGAAACGAUGUGGGAAGGCACAGACAGCCAGGAUGUUGGCUUAGAAGCAGCCAUCAUUUAAAGAAAGCGUAAUAGCUCACUGGUCGAGUCGGCCUGCGCGGAAGAUGUAACGGGGCUAAACCAUGCACCGAAGCUGCGGCAGCGACACUAUGUGUUGUUGGGUAGGGGAGCGUUCUGUAAGCCUGCGAAGGUGACCUGUGAGGGUUGCUGGAGGUAUCAGAAGUGCGAAUGCUGACAUAAGUAACGAUAAAGCGGGUGAAAAGCCCGCUCGCCGGAAGACCAAGGGUUCCUGUCCAACGUUAAUCGGGGCAGGGUGAGUCGACCCCUAAGGCGAGGCCGAAAGGCGUAGUCGAUGGGAAACAGGUUAAUAUUCCUGUACUUGGUGUUACUGCGAAGGGGGGACGGAGAAGGCUAUGUUAGCCGGGCGACGGUUGUCCCGGUUUAAGCAUGUAGGCUGGUUAUCCAGGCAAAUCCGGAUAAUCAAGGCUGAGGUGUGAUGACGAGGCACUACGGUGCUGAAGUAACAAAUGCCCUGCUUCCAGGAAAAGCCUCUAAGCAUCAGGUAACAUUAAAUCGUACCCCAAACCGACACAGGUGGUCAGGUAGAGAAUACCAAGGCGCUUGAGAGAACUCGGGUGAAGGAACUAGGCAAAAUGGUGCCGUAACUUCGGGAGAAGGCACGCUGGUGUGUAGGUGAAGUCCCUGCGGAUGGAGCUGAGACCAGUCGAAGAUACCAGCUGGCUGCAACUGUUUAUUAAAAACACAGCACUGUGCAAACACGAAAGUGGACGUAUACGGUGUGACGCCUGCCCGGUGCCGGAAGGUUAAUUGAUGGGGUUAUCCGUAAGGAGAAGCUCUUGAUCGAAGCCCCGGUAAACGGCGGCCGUAACUAUAACGGUCCUAAGGUAGCGAAAUUCCUUGUCGGGUAAGUUCCGACCUGCACGAAUGGCGUAAUGAUGGCCAGGCUGUCUCCACCCGAGACUCAGUGAAAUUGAACUCGCUGUGAAGAUGCAGUGUACCCGCGGCAAGACGGAAAGACCCCGUGAACCUUUACUAUAGCUUGACACUGAACAUUGAGCCUUGAUGUGUAGGAUAGGUGGGAGGCUUUGAAGCGUGGACGCCAGUCUGCGUGGAGCCAACCUUGAAAUACCACCCUUUAAUGUUUGAUGUUCUAACGUUGGCCCCUUACCGGGGUUGCGGACAGUGUCUGGUGGGUAGUUUGACUGGGGCGGUCUCCUCCCAAAGCGUAACGGAGGAGCACGAAGGUUAGCUAAUCCUGGUCGGACAUCAGGAGGUUAGUGCAAUGGCAUAAGCUAGCUUGACUGCGAGCGUGACGGCGCGAGCAGGUGCGAAAGCAGGUCAUAGUGAUCCGGUGGUUCUGAAUGGAAGGGCCAUCGCUCAACGGAUAAAAGGUACUCCGGGGAUAACAGGCUGAUACCGCCCAAGAGUUCAUAUCGACGGCGGUGUUUGGCACCUCGAUGUCGGCUCAUCACAUCCUGGGGCUGAAGUAGGUCCCAAGGGUAUGGCUGUUCGCCAUUUAAAGUGGUACGCGAGCUGGGUUUAGAACGUCGUGAGACAGUUCGGUCCCUAUCUGCCGUGGGCGCUGGAGAAUUGAGGGGGGCUGCUCCUAGUACGAGAGGACCGGAGUGGACGCAUCACUGGUGUUCGGGUUGUCAUGCCAAUGGCACUGCCCGGUAGCUAAAUGCGGAAGAGAUAAGUGCUGAAAGCAUCUAAGCACGAAACUUGCCCCGAGAUGAGUUCUCCCUGAGACUUUAAGUCUCCUGAAGGAACGUUAAAGACGAUGACGUUGAUAGGCCGGGUGUGUAAGCGCAGCGAUGCGUUGAGCUAACCGGUACUAAUGAACCGUGAGGCUUAACCUU
rnacentral:rRNA from 1 species